AGCUAUGAUGAGCAAAGAAACAAUGCUGAAUUGGUAUUGCCACUGAAUGGUGUCUCUGACCAAGGUCUGAUUGCAUUUAAUCUUCUCUCUGAGCUG